rnacentral:rRNA from 1 species
AGUGAACGCUCGCGGUAGGCCUAACACAUGCAAGUCGAACGGCAGCACAGUAAGAGCUUGCUCUUACGGGUGGCGAGUGGCGGACGGGUGAGGAAUACAUCGGAAUCUAUUUUUUCGUGGGGGAUAACGUAGGGAAACUUACGCUAAUACCGCAUACGACCUACGGGUGAAAGCAGGGGAUCUUCGGACCUUGCGCGAUUGAAUGAGCCGAUGUCGGAUUAGCUAGUUGGCGGGGUAAAGGCCCACCAAGGCGACGAUCCGUAGCUGGUCUGAGAGGAUGAUCAGCCACACUGGAACUGAGACACGGUCCAGACUCCUACGGGAGGCAGCAGUGGGGAAUAUUGGACAAUGGGCGCAAGCCUGAUCCAGCCAUACCGCGUGGGUGAAGAAGGCCUUCGGGUUGUAAAGCCCUUUUGUUGGGAAAGAAAAGCAGCAGGUUAAUACCCCGCUGUUCUGACGGUACCCAAAGAAUAAGCACCGGCUAACUUCGUG